UACGAAGGGUACAAGCGUUGUUCGGAAUUACUGGGCGUAAAGCGCGCGUAGGCGGACGCGUAAGUCGAUUGUGAAAGCCCUGGGCUUAACCUGGGAACUGCAGUCGAAACUGCGUGUCUUGAGUGCCUGAGAGGAUGGCGGAAUUCCCGGUGUAGUAGUGAAAUACGUAGAUAUCGGGAAGAACACCUGAGGCGAAGGCGACUUACUGGACACAUAUUGACGCUGAGGUGCGAAAGCGUGGGGAGCAAACAGG
rnacentral:rRNA from 1 species